rnacentral:tRNA from 1 species
ACUGAGGUAGCUCAGUGGUAGAGCGCUUGCCUAGCAUGCAUGAGGCCUGGGUUCCAUUCCUCAGCA